AGAGUUUGAUCCUGGCUCAGGACGAACGCUGGCGGCGUGCCUAAUACAUGCAAGUAGAACGCUGAAGAGAGGAGCUUGCUCUUCUUGGAUGAGUUGCGAACGGGUGAGUAACGCGUAGGUAACCUGCCUUGUAGCGGGGGAUAACUAUUGGAAACGAUAGCUAAUACCGCAUAACAAUGGGUGACACAUGUCAUUUAUUUGAAAGGGGCAAUUGCUCCACUACAAGAUGGACCUGCGUUGUAUUAGCUAGUAGGUGAGGUAACGGCUCACCUAGGCGACGAUACAUAGCCGACCUGAGAGGGUGAUCGGCCACACUGGGACUGAGACACGGCCCAGACUCCUACGGGAGGCAGCAGUAGGGAAUCUUCGGCAAUGGGGGCAACCCUGACCGAGCAACGCCGCGUGAGUGAAGAAGGUUUUCGGAUCGUAAAGCUCUGUUGUAAGUCAAGAACGAGUGUGAGAGUGGAAAGUUCACACUGUGACGGUAGCUUACCAGAAAGGGACGGCUAACUACGUGCCAGCAGCCGCGGUAAUACGUAGGUCCCGAGCGUUGUCCGGAUUUAUUGGGCGUAAAGCGAGCGCAGGCGGUUUGAUAAGUCUGAAGUUAAAGGCUGUGGCUCAACCAUAGUUCGCUUUGGAAACUGUCAAACUUGAGUGCAGAAGGGGAGAGUGGAAUUCCAUGUGUAGCGGUGAAAUGCGUAGAUAUAUGGAGGAACACCGGUGGCGAAAGCGGCUCUCUGGUCUGUAACUGACGCUGAGGCUCGAAAGCGUGGGGAGCGAACAGGAUUAGAUACCCUGGUAGUCCACGCCGUAAACGAUGAGUGCUAGGUGUUGGAUCCUUUCCGGGAUUCAGUGCCGCAGCUAACGCAUUAAGCACUCCGCCUGGGGAGUACGACCGCAAGGUUGAAACUCAAAGGAAUUGACGGGGGCCCGCAC
rnacentral:rRNA from 1 species